GGUGAGAUACUACUUGAGGAGGACAUCAGGUAAGAUUAUCUUCUCUCAGAAAAAAAGGUGUUUCUUUAAAGAGGUCACGACAGCAACAGGGACAAUACCCUAACUCCGUGUUUGUUUGUGAGUAAGUGAGGAGCCUCCUGCUGACCUAUUAAUCCACCCUGACUGGUGGAUAGAGUGAUAUAUUACUGUCUUCCAAGUCACUGGACUCCUUUGACAAAAGCAGUAAUUUUAGCAGACAGAACACAGGAGUCGUUGUUUGUGGGUUUGGCUGUGGAUAAUGAUUUAUAUGUAGCUAACACCAUCAGCCACAAACCUACAUCAGGUCACGUGGGUGUAAGUUUCCAUGAAAAUGACAAUAAUAAUACACUAAUUGUGUGUGUGUCUCUUUCUCUUUCUGUGUGUGUGUUUGUUUAGAUUGCACAAGACUUACUGUGUGACAGUGACUGACACGGGGACUACAGACAUGACGGCCAUGACAACAUCUCCCACAGACAUUCCACCAGGUGUGAUCCUGGUUUCGCCCGCUGCAGCCGAGAACACGCUGCGGCUGGAUGACGAGGAGAGAGCAGACAGAUUGCACAAGACUUACUGUGUGACAGUGACUGACACGGGGACUACAGACAUGACGGCCAUGACAACAUCUCCCACAGACAUUCCACCAGGUGUGAUCCUGGUUUCGCCCGCUGCAGCCGAGAACACGCUGCGGCUGGAUGACGAGGAGAGAGCAGACAGAUUGCACAAGACUUACUGUGUGACAGUGACUGACACGGGGACUACAGACAUGACGGCCAUGACAACAUCUCCCACAGACAUUCCACCAGGUGUGAUCCUGGUUUCGCCCGCUGCAGCCGAGAACACGCUGCAGCUGGAUGAGGAGGAGAGAGCAGACAGAUUGCACAAGACUUACUGUGUGACAGUGACUGACACGGGGACUACAGACAUGACGGCCAUGACAACAUCUCCCACAGACAUUCCACCAGGUGUGAUCCUGGUUUCGCCCGCUGCAGCCGAGAACACGCUGCGGCUGGAUGACGAGGAGAGAGCAGACAGAUUGCACAAGACUUACUGUGUGACAGUGACUGACACCGGGACUACAGACAUGACGGCCAUGACAACAUCUCCCACAGACAUUCCACCAGGUGUGAUCCUGGUUUCGCCUGCUGCAGCCGAGAACACGCUGCAGCUGGAUGACGAGGAGAGAGCAGACAGAUUGCCGGUUGGACUUUACACAACCUACUCUGUGAAAGUGCCGGACAGAGACACAAUGGACAGAGUUACGACAGACAAAGACAAAACGGACAGGACACAUGACGGUGCCAGGACCCAGAAGAAGUCAAAGCAGAAGAAGAAGAACUGCAUCCUUCGACUCUUCUCCUGGAUGAAGAAGACCUUCUGCCCCUGCUGCACCGCCACCGUCCACCCAUAUGACCAGGACUACUAAGACAGAGAGGGACACAAGUGAAGCUCUGUGGAGGUUUUUUGUUAGCUUCAGCAGGGCAGCACUAUGGGCACGGCAGGAGGUGCUGACCCUCCUCCUCCUGUCUGUGGAGAAUCUUUUCUCUCACAAUGACUACAUGGGUUUUCUCCGGGUACUCCGGUUUCCUCCCACACUCCCAAUACAUUUUAGACUAAAAAAAAUUGCAAAAACUCCACCAUUUAUUAUAGAAAGACACUGUAAAAACAGAUAUUAUUAUUAAUAUUAUUAUGGAGUUUGAACUUUAAGACAGACACGACGGACAGAGACACGACGGACAGAGACAAAACGGACAGGACACAUGACAGCGCCAGCACCUAGAAGAAGUCGGAGCAGAAGAAGCAGAAGAACUGCAUCCGUCGACUCCUCCUGGAUGAAGAAGACCUUCGGCUCCUGCUGCACCAUCCACCCGUAUGACCAAGAUGACUAAGACGACGAGGGACGCAAGUGAAGCUCUGUGGAGGUUUUUAACUAACAACCUCCACAGAGCUUCAGCCGGGCAGCACUAUGGGCACGGCAGGAGGUGCUGACCCUCCUCCUCCUGUCUGUGGAGAAUCUUUUCUCUCCCGGUGACUGCGUGGGUUUACUCCGGGUACUCCGGUUUCCUCCCACACUCCCAAUACAUUUUACACUCUGAACCCCACCAUGCCAAAACAAUUGCAAAAACUUGGGGUUCAGAGG